CUUAAUUCUGAUGGGUGCCACAUGCUGAGUUCAUUCAAAAUUCAAAACAGCACAAGUUGCUAUUUAAACUUGGCUUGCUGACGCAAAUGCCUAAGUAAGAUACCAGCUUUGUGACUGUAUUUCUUGGGAUAUUUCCUGGGAUUCAGACGACACAUUACUGUUUCCUUCCUGUCUCUUAACCGACAUCGAAGUAUCCCCCAGUCCUUUUAUCUUCUGAACUUGAAACAUGGGCCAUCUGCAGGAUAGGAGAUAACCGGCUUCACUCCUAUCACAGGAGUUGGCCAUGGAGACCAAAAAUAACAGAAAUCUGGAAAAGUUAAGAAGCUUCUUUAUUUACAUGUUCCUUGUGAAAAGGUGAUUUAGCAAUGCUGGAGGUUUGAGAAACAGAUGAGAAAUGCCACAAGUAAAGAGCCAACAGGUGUUGCUGAGAAAUUACACAGACUGAAGCAGCCCAGGAGUGGCCUUGACACCCCGAAUUCCCCCUGG